rnacentral:rRNA from 1 species
GACAUAGGUCGCGAACGUUAUCCGGAAUUAUUGGGCGUAAAGAGCUCGUAGGCGGUUGAGUAAGUCGGGUGUGAAAACUCUGGGCUUAACCCAGAGCCGCCACCCGAUACUGCUCUGACUUGAGUUCGGUAGGGGAGCAGGGAAUUCCUAGUGUAGCGGUGAAAUGCGCAGAUAUUAGGAGGAACACCGGUGGCGAAGGCGCUGCUCUGGGCCGAUACUGACGCUGAGGAGCGAAAGCGUGGGUAGCAAACAGG